GAGGAUCCUCGCCCCGCCGAGGACCCCCGCCCCGCCGUGUCCCGACGAGGCUCCGCCACGCCUGCUGCGGCCCCGUCCAGCAGCCGGCAGGGAAGGAACGCGGGGGACCUGCCCAGCCCCUCCGCUGCUGCCCGCCCUGGCCGUGCCGGCAGCGCUCCCUCCGCUCCCUUGCCCAGCCGCGGGGAGCCAGGGGAGCGCCAGCAGGACGCUGGGGAGGCUGGGCCGAGCCCUUCGACAUCCGCCCAGGGCACGGAACGCGCCCGCGGGGGGCCACGGCGACCCCCGAAGAGGAGGGCUGGCAGCCCCCACGCCUCUGCUCCAGCCAAGAGGAAGCCACCCAACGGGCAGCACUAGGGCUCCUCCGGGGGACUUCUGGCACAGCUCACGGACCACCGUUUCCCGGAGCACGCAGCCUUCCUCCAGCCUGCUCAGGUGUGGCUGCAGCAGCAGCUGAGGUGGACCUUCAAAAGUUGGACUUUCCAGGCAGCCCUGGUGGAGGGCUGAUGUGACUGUUAUUAAAGGAUGAGUUAUGUAAA